rnacentral:rRNA from 1 species
GAUGAACGCUAGCGGCAGGCUUAAUACAUGCAAGUCGAGGGGCAUCAGGGGUAGCAAUACCUGCUGGCGACCGGCAAACGGGUGCGGAACACGUACAGUAACUUUCCUUUAAGGCGGGGGAUAGCCCAUAGAAAUGUGGAUUAACUACCCCAUAGUAAUGCUGGUUGGCAUCAACUGGUAUUUAAAGAUUUAUCACUUAAAGAUGGCUGUGCGUCUGAUUAGGUAGUUGGAGGGGUAACGGCCCACCAAGCCAUCGAUCAGUAACUGGUGUGAGAGCACGACCAGUCACACGGGCACUGAGACACGGGCCCGACUCCUACGGGAGGCAGCAAGUAAGGAAUAUUGGUCAAUGGACGCAAGUCU